rnacentral:rRNA from 1 species
UACGUAGGGUGCAAGCGUUGUCCGGAUUUACUGGGCGUAAAGAGCGUGUAGGCGGCCAAACAGGUCCGUUGUGAAAACUGGAGGCUCAACCUCCAGACGUCGACGGAAACCGUAUGGCUAGAGUCCGGAAGAGGAGAGUGGAAUUCCUGGUGUAGCGGUGAAAUGCGCAGAUAUCAGGAAGAACACCAAUGGCGAAGGCAGCUCUCUGGGACGGUACUGACGCUGAGACGCGAAAGCGUGGGGAGCGAACAGG